rnacentral:tRNA from 1 species
GGGGAUUUAGCUCAGUGGUAGAGCGCUUGCCUAGCUAGCGCAAGCGCAAGGCCCUGGGUUCGGUCCCCAGCUCCG